AAACAUGUCCAAAUACAACAACCACUGAGAAAAAAAAACGUAUACAAACUCAAAAAUGUUCUUAUUAUUAUCAGAUUAUUAUCUGGUAAUACCACGAUCUUUCAAUUUCAUUUUAAAUAUUUUAGCUUAUGGCUUUCCACAUUUUUUACUCCUAACAUUUUUCGCCCAGAUUCGUCCACAGAGAAUUCGCAAGUUACCACAAUCGAAAAUUCGUACAACGGGUUUUUUGUGGACUUUUACGUGGUUUUCCUAU